rnacentral:rRNA from 1 species
AGAGAGAGACAUGCGCGCAUAUCAAUAAGCGGAGGAAAAGAAACUAACUAGGAUUCCCUCAGUAACGGCGAGUGAAGCGGGAAGAGCUCAAAUUUGAAAUCUUCAAGGUUCUACCUUGACGAAUUGUAGUUUAAAGAAGUGUUUUCUGUUGGAGUUUUGGUAAAAGUUCUUUGGAAUAGGACAUCAUAGAGGGUGAGAAUCCCGUAUUUGACCAUUAUUUCCAGCUUUGUGAUACACUUUCAAAGAGUCGGAUUGUUUGGGAAUGCAGUCCAAAAUGGGUGGUAAAUUUCAUCUAAAGCUAAAUACUUGGCGAGAGACCGAUAGCGAACAAGUACCGUGAGGGAAAGAUGAAAAGAACUUUGAAAAGAGAGUUAAACAGUACGUGAAAUUGUCAAAAGGGAAGCGUUUGACACCAGUGUUGUUUUCUCGAAAAUCAAUUAAAAAAGGCAGGAUUUUGUGUUGUAUUGACUUUAUCAGCUUUCUGCACUCUUUUCUUGUCUUUUUUAAUGCACUUUUCGUUUAACAAGUCAACAUCAAUUUCUUUUGUUGUAAAAGGGUCAUUGGAAGGUGGCUUUCUUUUCGGAGAAAGUGUUUAUAGCCUUUGGCCUCUGCAAUCGGAGAGAUUGAGGUCUGCAGCGUAGAUCCCUUCGGGGUUAGAUACAUUUGUGCUAAGUUAUAGCCUUUUCAUAGACAACUUGUUGACUAUGAUUAGUCUUGUAGCUUACUCGCUUAUGCUAUUUUACCUACGCUUAGGAUGUUGAUGUGAUACUGCGAGCA